CAAUAGCGUAUAUUAAAGUUGCUGCAGUUAAAAAGCUCGUAGUUGGAUUUGUGGUUCGUCCCGCCGGCCGGGUCAUUGACUUUUGCUGUGCUGGUCGUCCAUCCUUGGGUGGAAUCUGUGUGGCAUUAGGUUGUCGCGCAGGGGAUGCCCAUCGUUUACUGUGAAAAAAUUAGAGUGUUCAAAGCAGGCUUAUGCCGUUGAAUAUAUUAGCAUGGAAUAAUGAUAUAGGACCUUGGUACUAUUUUGUUGGUUUGCGCACUGAGGUAAUGAUUAAUAGGGACAGUUGGGGGUAUUCGUAUUCCAUUGUAAGAGGUGAAAUUCUUGGAUUUUUGGAAGACGAACUACUGCGAANGNAUUUACNAAGGAUGUUUNCAUUA
rnacentral:rRNA from 1 species